rnacentral:rRNA from 1 species
UGCGUAGGUGGCGCCGUAAGUCGGGUGUGAAAUUUCGGAGCUUAACUCCGAAACUGCAUUCGAUACUGCGGUGCUUGAGGACUGGAGAGGAGACUGGAAUUCAUGGUGUAGCAGUGAAAUGCGUAGAGAUCAUGAGGAAGACCAGUGGCGAAGGCGGGUCUCUGGACAGUUCCUGACACUGAUGAGCGAAAGCUAGGGGGGCAAAC